UUUAUAAAAAAUAAACAAGCUAAAAUUAAUUAAAAAUUAUAAGAAGAAAUUUAUCCGGGCGUAGCCCGGACAAAGACCCUAGUAAUUGAAAAAUCAUAAUAAAUCAGCAUUAAAAAAACUAAAAUAUAAUUAAUUCACUCAACUAGAAAGUGAGAUUUGACCAAAACGUAGUUUUAGUAUAUAAUAAAAGCCAUAGGGGUAUUAGUAUGUGACUAUAAAAUUUACAAUAAAAAUUAUUAGAUGUAAAGAAUCUGAGC
rnacentral:lncRNA from 1 species